GGGCCCCAAGUCAGGCGAGGCCACCC
rnacentral:rRNA from 1 species